CCACUAUUAUUCAUUUUUAACAAUGUGAACAAGAAACAAUACUCAUGUGUAAACCACUUUCUUUUCCUGGGUAUUUUUGCCAAAUUUCCUGCAAAUGUGACAAUAAGCAAGUAAAUGUCUUAGCCAUAAAACAGGUAUGUGUCUCAGCCUAAAUUACCAUAGGAGCGCACUAAGUAAAAGAAGAGAUUUUAAUACCUCUAACAACAUUAAAAUAUUAAGUUCUCAAAUAACUAUAGUCCACUGGGCACCCACAAGUAAAUGAAGGAGUAAGUGGGGGGCCAAACUGCUAAUGAACUCAACUUAAUGGGAGACCUCAGGUAUGCACUAAGCAGCAAUGUAUAUAUUAUUAGUUUUGUUUGUAAUAUCACUAUUAAUUAUAGUACAGUAAAACUAGAUUCAUCUCUCAAGUUAAUAACAAAUAUACAAAUAUAGUUCACACAUAGAAUAACUGUGAAAUUGGAAUAAAAAGUGUUCUCCACUUUUUUUAAGUCAUAUUUUAAAAACGCAUACACAGAUAAUUUCAUUAGACAUAAACUAUAUGCAUGUAUAUGUCACUUAGGUGUAUAAAUGUGAUCACAUUAACUUGUUAUUCAUAUUUUUCAAUGCUACCAUUCCCCUUUAACAGCUAAUUCUAUUGAGGUUCAGACACACUAACUGGGUUACUUAGUAUUUAUAGUGGCUAAGUAAUAAAGCCAGAUUUGGAACAGAGGACAGAUUCUGGCUCAUGUUACAGUGCUCUUUCCACUGACACAUACUCCCCACAUUUGAGCUUUUAGUGUCAUUUAUCGUUCAUGUUUGCCUCAGGUGCACGAGGAACCUUGCUAUUAUACCAGCGCUUUGGAGAGCACGCAUAGAUCAUAUUUUCCUAAUUCAUCAUUUUGCACGGGAGGCAAGUGAAAGCCAGUAAAGUGAAGAAACUGAAGAAAACCACACAGAGAUAAUGACAGGACUAGAACUCAAGCCCUGUGCUCUUUGAAAUGCUCCCCAGAGAUGAAGUUCUGAUUGGACUGGGAGGUGACAUGCUCCAAGGAGCUGCUUCAUGGGUCCACCACUCCUGUUCCCUACAGAAUGAAUGGAGUCUCUGCAGCCAAGGUGACAGAAACAUCCACCCAGGGCUCAGUGCGGCUGAACGGGAGAACUCAAGCUUCCAGACCUGCUGUCCAGUUCAUGAGGCAGGAAUGGAAACAGAGACAAAGCAAAGGCUGUCGGCAUAGGACCUUCAACAACAAGAGUCAGAAAGCAUGAUGUCAGAUCUACACGUCCAGGAAGAAAGGAUAUUAGCUGUUAAAUCAAUCGACCCCCAGAAGGAGAAAGCAAUUGGCUAAAGAAAAAGAAAGCAAUUGGUGAUCUACGAACACCCCUUUGGAAAGAAACACAGAAGUUUUUGAAGAAGAAACUUCUCCUUGGAUAUAUCUGGAUAUAAAUUUCAGACUAAUGUCCCAUACAGCACCAAUUACUGUUUUGCAUCUUAACAGUUUGGACUGAGGCAGUAUCAUACCCAAACAAAUGGUUCUGAAAGGUUCUAGGAUACAUCAGAAUCACAUGCAGAAUCAUUCAUUCAUUCAUUUAUUCACUCAUUCAUAUUUUGUUGUUCAUAUCUUGGGUGGCACUGGAGAAUUUAAAUUUCUAACAAGUUUCCAGGUAUGGAUGCUGCUAGUCUAGAGACAGUGAUUCUAGAAUCACCGCUCUAACCUCACUCUGAUCUCUGGAAACCCAAACUAAAAGCAAUACGAAACUUUAUUAUUCAUUUAACUACAGCAACUCACAAACUAUGUGGUUCAUGACCUUAGCAUUCAUCUUAGAGUAAUCAAUAGCCAUGCUGUGGGUUCAGAGGAAACAAGCCAUUCUUCAUUUGUGGGUAUAUAGGUGAACAGUCAUAAGAGGUAUCCUGGAGCCCUGCAACGCUCUCUUACUGCUUCUGCACAUUGCUUUUCCAUAGGUGGCUUAAAAGUUAAUUGAAUUUGGCAGGUAAUAGACAAAUCCCCAUCUAUGUUUGUUUAUGAAUAACUUUCAUUAUUAUUGGAAGUAAUAUAAACCAUCUUGGUCAAACAUAUACAACAAUAUGGUUUAAAUCCUGAAAGACACAGGAGGUUUGAAUGUGGCUCUCCAGGAGUGGUAAAUGAUAAUACAGCAAAAACAAUUAUCUGAUGCGGAAGAUUUCUUGUAUUAAGAAAAUAUUACAGUAGUAAUUAAAAAAAAGAAUACACAAAUGAAAACUUUGGGGAUCUCCAACAAGCAAGACAAAAUAACAUCUUACUAUUUCUCUAUGCCAAGGUAUCUGAUUCACUAAAUGUUAAAUUAAAGCUUGCCUACAACUAUACUAAUCAGACUCAAUCAGGGGAUGGGUAACAGGCAUUGUGGAACUGGUAAAGCUCUCUGUUGGAACAAAUUAUUUAGAAAAGUAUAUCCUUUCAUCAAUUCCAUGAUUUCACUUAUAUAAGUAUAUUCCUGGUGUAAACACUAGAGAAAACAAGGGGUAGAGGUGAGAAUUGUCUUUCAAAACUCAAAGUUUAUCUUAUUGUCCCUAUCACUUGAACUCAGAACCCAUGAUACUAAGAAAGAUAAACAAUGUUUAUGUAACAUCAUGUGUCAAGUAUGUGCAAAUAAGAAAUAUAUGUUAUUAAGGACACCUGGAUAACACAGUCAGUUAAAUGUCCA